rnacentral:misc_RNA from 1 species
CGAAACCGUGGCACCGUGCCGGACCCCGAGAACCUGGUCGACGUGCCGCCUUAUCUCGACGACACCUCGUUACGCGUUCAUAUCCACCAUCCCCGAAGAUUACAGAAAUUGACUAAAAGAAAUAAAUUUGAUUUUGUAACGUUAAUAUGGGCCAUAUGAGGAGGUUGUAAAAACUCUUAUCAGGUUGAAGGACAGAAUGAAAGUUUUGACAUCGGUUUAUCAUCAUCUAUAGAAAUGUUAGUAAAUCUUGUGUCACGUGCAAUCCACUAGAAAGGGACGGUACUUUUGUUUGUUUGUUUUUUGCCUCAUCUUUCGUUCUUAGGGAUUAUUUUUCUGAUUGCGACGGUUCGAUUCGUUACAAGUAGAAGUAAAUAAAAAUUAUCUUCGACAUCCGAUUGACACGGAGAGGAUAAUUUUGUUCUCUGAAACGGUACAUGCAACGGUAAGUGCGAUUACGUCUAUGAUAAACCUUUGUUAAAACUAUCCGGACCGACCUGACCUGACCUCACCUGGUAUGAGAUGAUACGACCUGACCUAUGAACAUCCGUAUGAAAGUUAAACCGUUUGACAAAUAAUCGCUGAACCGCGUUUUUAACAAUAAUGUGAUCGAGAUCGAUGUGCAGUUGAGGAUAUAAUUGCACAUAGAUCUGACGGGUG